UACGGAGGGUGCGAGCGUUAAUCGGAAUUACUGGGCGUAAAGCGCGCGUAGGUGGUUUGUUAAGUUGGAUGUGAAAGCCCCGGGCUCAACCUGGGAACUGCAUCCAAAACUGGCAAGCUAGAGUAUGGUAGAGGGUGGUGGAAUUUCCUGUGUAGCGGUGAAAUGCGUAGAUAUAGGAAGGAACACCAGUGGCGAAGGCGACCACCUGGACUGAUACUGACACUGAGGUGCGAAAGCUAGGGUAGCGAACGGG
rnacentral:misc_RNA from 1 species